AUGUUUGUUCAGGUAGCACAUAUGAUAAAUUAUAAUUGAUACAGAGAAGAUUAGCAUGCCCCCUGCAAAAGGAUGACACACAAAAUCGUGAAACGUUUCCACAUUUU
rnacentral:snRNA from 1 species